rnacentral:lncRNA from 9 species
GGGGGAGAGGUGGGGAGGGAGAGACUGGGAGGGCUGGAGGCUCAGCAUAGGACAGGUUUCAGAGAUAUUCUUCUUAUCAAAUUCAGCAUCUUCACCAGCACCUUUGCCCAGAGCUGCCAGACCUGCAGCAGUCCUGUGAAUUAAGCUUCAUCUCCUUGUAUUUUGCACUUGAAGAAACCGUUCUGAGAGGAGAGGAGAACAGCCGGAGGUCACACAGCAGGUGUACAACAAUCAUCACAACCAAACUACAGCAUGUCCAUCCCAAACCUUCAGUACAUCCCCCCACCCAGCAACCUGUCUCAUUUGGUAC